AGAGUUUGAUCCUGGCUCAGGACGAACGCUGGCGGCGUGCCUAAUACAUGCAAGUAGAACGCUGAAGAGAGGAGCUUGCUCUUCUUGGAUGAGUUGCGAACGGGUGAGUAACGCGUAGGUAACCUGCCUGGUAGCGGGGGAUAACUAUUGGAAACGAUAGCUAAUACCGCAUAAAAUUGAUUAUUGCAUGAUAAUUAAUUGAAAGAUGCAAUUGCAUCACUACCAGAUGGACCUGCGUUGUAUUAGCUAGUUGGUGAGGUAACGGCUCACCAAGGCGACGAUACAUAGCCGACCUGAGAGGGUGAUCGGCCACACUGGGACUGAGACACGGCCCAGACUCCUACGGGAGGCAGCAGUAGGGAAUCUUCGGCAAUGGGGGGAACCCUGACCGAGCAACGCCGCGUGAGUGAAGAAGGUUUUCGGAUCGUAAAGCUCUGUUGUAAGAGAAGAACGGGUGUGAGAGUGGAAAGUUCACACUGUGACGGUAUCUUACCAGAAAGGGACGGCUAACUACGUGCCAGCAGCCGCGGUAAUACGUAGGUCCCGAGCGUUGUCCGGAUUUAUUGGGCGUAAAGCGAGCGCAGGCGGUUAGAUAAGUCUGAAGUUAAAGGCUGUGGCUUAACCAUAGUAUGCUUUGGAAACUGUUUAACUUGAGUGCAGAAGGGGAGAGUGGAAUUCCAUGUGUAGCGGUGAAAUGCGUAGAUAUAUGGAGGAACACCGGUGGCGAAAGCGGCUCUCUGGUCUGUAACUGACGCUGAGGCCCGAAAGCGUGGGGGGCAAACAGGAUUAGAUACCCUGGUAGUCCACGCCGUAAACGAUGAGUGCUAGGUGUUAGGCCCUUUCCGGGGCUUAGUGCCGCAGCUAACGCAUUAAGCACUCCGCCUGGGGAGUACGACCGCAAGGUUGAAACUCAAAGGAAUUGACGGGGGCCCGCACAAGCGGUGGAGCAUGUGGUUUAAUUCGAAGCAACGCGAAGAACCUUACCAGGUCUUGACAUCCCUCUGACCGCUCUAGAGAUAGAGUUUUCCUUCGGGACAGAGGUGACAGGUGGUGCAUGGUUGUCGUCAGCUCGUGUCGUGAGAUGUUGGGUUAAGUCCCGCAACGAGCGCAACCCCUAUUGUUAGUUGCCAUCAUUCAGUUGGGCACUCUAGCGAGACUGCCGGUAAUAAACCGGAGGAAGGUGGGGAUGACGUCAAAUCAUCAUGCCCCUUAUGACCUGGGCUACACACGUGCUACAAUGGCUGGUACAACGAGUCGCAAGCCGGUGACGGCAAGCUAAUCUCUGAAAGCCAGUCUCAGUUCGGAUUGUAGGCUGCAACUCGCCUACAUGAAGUCGGAAUCGCUAGUAAUCGCGGAUCAGCACGCCGCGGUGAAUACGUUCCCGGGCCUUGUACACACCGCCCGUCACACCACGAGAGUUUGUAACACCCGAAGUCGGUGAGGUAACCGUAAGGAGCCAGCCGCCUAAGGUGGGAUAGAUGAUUGGGGUGAAGUCGUAACAAGGUAACCA
rnacentral:rRNA from 1 species